rnacentral:rRNA from 1 species
CCUACGGGAGGCAGCAGUGGGGAAUAUUGCACAAUGGGGGAAACCCUGAUGCAGCGACGCCGCGUGGGUGAAGAAGUAUUUCGGUAUGUAAAGCCCUAUCAGCAGGGAAGAAAAUGACGGUACCUGAUCAAGAAGCCCCGGUUAACUACGUGCCAGCAGCCGCGGUAAUACGUAGGGGGCAAGCGUUAUCCGGAUUUACUGGGUGUAAAGGGAGCGUAGACGGCAGCACAAGUCUGGAGUGAAAGGCCGGGGCUUAACCCCGGAACUGCUUUGGAAACUGUGCAGCUAGAGUGCAGGAGAGGUAAGUGGAAUUCCUAGUGUAGCGGUGAAAUGCGUAGAUAUUAGGAGGAACACCAGUGGCGAAGGCGGCUUACUGGACUGUAACUGACGUUGAGGCUCGAAAGCGUGGGGAGCAAACAGGAUUAGAUACCCCUGUAGUC